AAGUCGUAACAAGGUUUCCGUAGGUGAACCUGCGGAAGGAUCAUUAAUAAAGAAUAGCACGCUCGUAAGAGGUGCGACCCUUUAAUUCCACACACUGUGCACUUGACCCUUUUUUAAACACUUGAAUGUAACAAGUUGAUGAUGUAACGAAUUUGAAAAAGUUAAAUAAAACUUUCAGCAAUGGAUCUCUUGGCUCUC
rnacentral:misc_RNA from 1 species